GAUGAACGCUGGCGGCGUGCCUAAUACAUGCAAGUCGAACGCUGAAGGAAGGAGCUUGCUCUUUCCGGAUGAGUUGCGAACGGGUGAGUAACGCGUAGGUAACCUGCCUGGUAGCGGGGGAUAACUAUUGGAAACGAUAGCUAAUACCGCAUAACAGUAGAUGUUGCAUGAUAUCUACUUAAAAGGUGCAAUUGCACCACUACCAGAUGGACCUGCGUUGUAUUAGCUAGUUGGUGAGGUAACGGCUCACCAAGGCGACGAUACAUAGCCGACCUGAGAGGGGGAGCGGCCACACUGGGACUGAGACACGGCCCAGACCACUACGGGAGGCAGCAGUAGGGAAUCUUCGGCAAAGGAAGGAAGGCUGACCGAGCAACGCCGCGUGAGGGAAGAAGGUUGUCGGAUCGUAAAGCUCUGUUGUAAGAGAAGAACGAGUGUGAGAGUGGAAAGUUCACACUGUGACGGUAUCUUACCAGAAAGGGACGGCUAACUACGUG
rnacentral:rRNA from 1 species